GGGGAUUUAGCUCAGUGGUAGAGUGCUUGCCUAGCAAGCAGAAGGCGAAGGCCCUGGGUUCGGUCCCCA
rnacentral:tRNA from 1 species